rnacentral:rRNA from 1 species
UGGGGAAUAUUGCACAAUGGGCGCAAGCCUGAUGCAGCAACGCCGCGUGAACGAUGAAGGUCCUCGGAUUGUAAAGUUCUGUUGCAGGGGAAGAUAAUGAUGGUACCCUGUGAGGAAGCGCCGGCUAACUACGUGCCAGCAGCCGCGGUAAUACGUAGGGGGCUAGCGUUAUCCGGAUUUACUGGGCGUAAAGGGUGCGUAGGUGGUCUUUCAAGUCGGUGGUUAAAGGCUACGGCUCAACCGUAGUUAGCCUCCGAAACUGGAAGACUUUAGUGCAGGAGAGGAAAGUGGAAUACCCAGUGUAGCGGUGAAAUGCGUAGAUAUUGGGAGAAACACCAGUAGCGAAGGCGGCUUUCUGGACUGCAACUGACACUGAGGCACGAAAGCGUGGGUAGCAAACAGG